rnacentral:rRNA from 1 species
GAUGAACGCUGGCGGCGUGCCUAAUACAUGCAAGUCGAGCGAAACUUCUUUAUCACCGAUUGCUUGCACUCACCGAUAAACGGUUGAGUGGCGAACGGGUGAGUAACACAUAGGCAACCGGCCCAAAAGGGGGAGAUAACACUUUGAAACAUAUUCUAAUACCCCAUAACCAUAAUUAGCGCAAGGUAACUAUGUAAACACUUACUAUUCUACCGCUGUUGGAUUGGCCCGCGGCGCAUUAGCUAGUUGGUAGGGUAAAGGCUUACCAAGGCAAUGAUGCGUAGCCGAAUUGAGAGGUUGAUCGGCCACACUGGGACUGAGACACGGCCCAAACUCCUACGGGAGGCAGCAGUAGGGAAUCUUCCGCAAAGGGCGAAAGCCUGACGGAGCAACGCCGCGUGAGUGAAGAAGGUCUUCGGAUCGUAAAACCCUGUUGUUAGAGAAGAAAGUGUGUGAGAGUAACUGUUCACGUCUCGACGGUAUCUAACCAGAAAGCCACGGCUAACUACGUG